GGAAAAAAAAAAUCUCUUCCAAAAAAGCACCGGUCUGCAGAUGUCUGCGAGAGAACCCACGAACCCUCCUUCUUCUACGGCAGGGCAGGUAUUUUACAAAUGUACAUAUGAAUAUGUCAGCUGAAUAGUCAAGAGAAAGAAAAGACAGAACAGAGGACUUGUCAGAAGCAGAGGAAGAAAUAGUCUGUAUCACCAGUUUAUCCAUAGCAUUCAACAGGGAAUUCUCAUCUGCAAGACAGAUACCUGCAGAUGUCUUUUGCUAGAGAAAAUACUCAUUUUUGUUUGUAUUCACAAGGUCUCUGUGAAGAGAGGUGUUUCUUAAAUCUCCAUGCAAGCAGCUGGUGGGAGUACCAGUUGAAGAGAAUGGAUAGUCUGUGUUGGCUGUUUAUCUUUAAAAAUGGACUCUUCAGUAGCACGUGGACUGUCUGUAUACUGUAAUUUCCAGAGAGCUUGAAGCAGAGCCAUCGUGCAGGAAAAGUAAACACUAGAUGUUGAGUGGAAACAAUAGUAAGCUAGACACCCCACAUAGAUCCAGUUUUCCAAUUUUUUUCCAUAUAACUCCACUAGUUUUCUCUAGAAUGUUCUUUGGUUGGGAGAAUGUUGAAAAUACUCUGAAACACACAAAAAAAUUAUCAAAAAAGGUAUGUACAAUUCUUAGCUGGGAUGAAAAUUCACUGAAAUAAAUUUGUUGCUAAUCUGUUAUUUUUUUAAUCAAUCCAAUCCUUCUUCCUGCAAUUCCUACUUGGACAGAUCCAUGAAACCUGUGGUACUGGAGAGGAAGUGAUAUCUCAAAGUUACUCAGCAUAAUAAAAGAAAAAAUCUCUAUUGAAUGUGCAAUGGAAGCAAGUGUUUUUCCAGUUCAGCAGUUUCUGCUGAAUGGUAAACAAUCGGGUUGUUUCAAAAGGAGAGUAGCAUGGUCCGUAACUCCGACAGCUAGGAGUAGUUUAGUUUACUGCUUCUACCACCUGCCUUCUGACUUAAUAUUGGAAGCAAGAAGCAUGCAAUUAAGUAUGAGGAAAUGAAAAUAAAUGACACUGUUCAUUGCACAUUACAAAGUGCCUGGCAGAAAGAAUGCAGCUUGCCUGGACCUGAUGACCCCAGGGGAAAACAUGUCUCGUGCCUGGGAAAGCGCCAGCGAAUGAGACCCCGGCUUUAUCCACUAUCAAAUGCAUAUCAAAUCCUUCCUAACAAUUUGAAACUUUUUAAAAUUAUAAUGGAUUUCUGAAGAGCAGGGAGAUAUAAAAUGAAACGUGUACUGAGUGUGUGGUACAAGCUGCAGGACACCAAACAUGCAGGAGUAUUUUCUUUAUCAUUUCUUGAGGAAAGUUAUUUGGAUUACAUCCUGAAUUGGACUCAUUUGAACUGGUUAUUAAAUUCUAAGGUUUCUAGAGGUGAAGAGGUUUUUGAAAGAUUAACUCUAUCUACACAGCAAUAUUGUGUUCAAUGCAGUAUUACUGGGUAUAUAACUCAAACCCUCCUCUCAUUCCAGAAUCUGAAUGCUUAAAACCUCUCUUGUUUCAAAAUGCCUGUGCAGUGAAGGCCCUUUUUCUUAUAUAUGGCUCAUACUGUGGUUAGAACAUAAAAGUAAUAAUUGUAUUUAAGUAAUUUGUCCUAAAUUGUCUAAGCAUCUUUACAGUGGUAAGUAAAUGCUAUCCUGAUACCACAGAAUAGGAAGAAACUGCACUAUAGAGAAUUCUGAUGGCUUGCUCAGAACACAUAACACAUCAAAGAGUAGUUGAAAGUGAGAUAAACAGUUGUGCAAGAAAAUAAAGGUUUUAACAUAAAUCAUGUUAUUUUGAUACAGAAGUCAAAUUUGUCUUUUUUUAGAUGAAUGUAGGUGCAUUACAGAUGAAUUAACACAUUACAGAUUACUGUAAUGUUAAUUCAGCACUACUGUCUGAUUUAGAUGGCCAUGUAUAAAUAGUGGGGAAAUUUUCAUAAUGAAAGCAGAAGCAAGUAGAGAUUUUCAUGUGUUCAUGAUUUGGUACAAAACUAGAACUCAGAUGAGAUAUACCAAAUUUUUUUAUCUUUUCAGUGAAGCUAAAUAGCCAGAGAAUAUUAUAGAACAGAUAAUUUCAGGUACAAAUGCUGCCAAGACUUUGUGGUUUUUAAUGAUUUCAUCUUGAAGAAAGGAACUUCUUGGUAGCUUGAUAGGUAUUGUUUUGAGUGUAAUUUUUUUCACCCCAUAACCCAAAGUAAAACUCAAAGAGUGCAAACUCAGAAGGAAUUUAAACCUUUUAGGAGCCACAGACCCUCCAUUCCAAACCUACCACCUUUCACAUUUCUGGCUGUAUACAAGUACAUUGAUCUUCUUUUUCUUUAAUAUUGUAUGCACACUCUAUAGAAGGCUUUUUCAUAUUUCAACUGCAUUUUAGGUAAGUUCCUCACAUUCUCUGAAAAGUAGUCUUCUUUACUGCGCUUCUUCACAGGGCUUUUUAGACCCCAGUAGAAAAAAAAGUGUUUGGAUGUCAGUCAUUGGGUCUCUGCUAGUUAAAAAUCUUGUCUUUCAGAGAUGCUUUCUAUCCAUAGUCCUGCACAACAUGAAAUAUGGUUGACAGCUAUAUUACCACACUGCAGAUUGCAAAGCAAUUCACAUUCACACUUCUAAGUGCCUCUCCUUUCAAGACUUAUGGAUGUAUGCCAAAUUACUUGCAUUGUGGUAUAUGGCCUUCUAUAUGUACUUUAUAGAAUAGGUCUCUGGUUUCCAUUAAAAUCAAUGAAGUAAAGACCAAAAGAGCUUUUCUGAAGUGUUUACUAGAUGUCAGACAAGGUUAAUAAUAAAAUACUUCAAGUAUAAUAUGCAUCUUCGAUAUAUUUCAGUGUUUAUCUUUAAGAAGAUAUUUUCUGAAUUUAGGAUGGAAAUUCCUCAGCUAAAUUUAAAUAUUGAGUAACAUUAAGUUCAGCUGUCAUUGUUUGCUCCCCAUUACUGUCUCUGUAAAAAAAUGGAUAUAUGAUUUCAUACCCUAUUUAGGAAGUACUUCCAAAUGUAAUGGGCCAGUAGCCAUUUAAGGAGCCUAAGGUCUUGUUUUAACAAAACCAUCAUGGAUAUAUCUCAAAUGAAAUGGGAAUGACACAGAUACCAUCCAAUGCCAUUUCUUCUAGGCAAACUAGUGACUAUGCCACGUCAUAAAGCCUCAUUCCUAGUCACUAUUUCAUUACAGCAGAUCUUUUUCAGAUAUGUUAAAGUGGAUUAUCAGCAAUUAUAGUAUAAUAAUACAACUAAUUUAUUAAUAAUGAUUAAAAUAUUAGUACGAUUCUUUCCAGGCAUAUUACUAUGGUAAAUGAGGCAAAAUGAUAGGUUUUAAAAACAGACCUAUGACAUGACAGUGACACUAUGAUAGUGACAAACCGUAUUUUGCGGGAGAGAAGAGAGAGAUGCUCUAAAGGAAUCUGGGUGAAAUAUGGACUCAAGUGAAUUUAGUCAGUGUGAUGAAAAAUUCACUUAAAGCAGGAGGAAAGGCAUAAAAAUGAGUGUAUGAUGGUGGAGAGCACAUUUCACCUUUCUAUUUAUUUAUUUACUUUUUCAAUUAUUUCAAUUAUUAAAGUUUCCCUUAGGACUACAGUACCUUGAAGAAAUCAGCAAUACAGUUUUAAAAUUGUCUUGAGAUUUAGAGGGAAAAAAGUAAAUACAUGGAAGUCAUUAUCGCUGCCUUUGUCAGUAAUCCUAAAUCCAUGAGAUUUUUGUUCUUGUUAGAAGGACGUGUUUUACCACAGUGGGGUAGGUAUAAGUUGGGCUAGUGACUUGUUUUUCCAUAUAGCAUUGUAUUUUUGUAACCCAGAGUUCCACUAAAUUAUGUUCUCCAAAGGUAAAUGAGUUAUAUGCAGUGUUUUUCACUUGAACUGUACCAUAUGUGAAAAUUGUUGGUCUGUGCCUCAAAGAUGUUCUGUAAAAUCAUCUACUGUGGUUAAGAAACGUCAGUAUGUCCAUUUAUCAAAAUAACUUGAAAGAAAAUAUAGUGAACAGGCACCUAAAGUACUGGAGCAGUUGCACUAGGUAAUUCUCCAUAAGUAAAUUUGAAAGUGAAGCAAACUGAUGCCAUUUAGAAAAGUACUGGCCUAGUUAGUAAGACAGAAAGUUUGCUGGCUAAUUUCAAAAUUUCUGGAUAUUAAAUAUAGUUUUUAAGAAUUUAUGUACUGGAACACACUUCCCCUUGUCUCUGAAAAUAACCCAUGCAGGGUAGAAGUAGAUUCCAGCAAACUGUGUGAGUGCAGCAUGGUCUUUCAUUUGAUAUGCCCAUAUAUGCUCAGCAGUUGUUUCUGGUAGCCCUAACCUCCAUGAGCCUCAUCUAAUCUCUUGUAACAUCUCUCAAGUGUGUCACAGCAAGAAAAUUUGUCCACUGAAGUGGUGGAAGGAAAAAACAGAAUCUCACAAGUGAGAACUAUUUAUGCUUCCUUCACCAAGCUGUAAAGAGUCAACCACAGUUACAUAAGCCUUUCCUGCAGGGUUUCAGCAGUUCUAAAUAUCCUCAACUAAGGUGAAAAAAAUCAACAAAAGUACCCAAAAAGAGACUGUAAGCAGCAUGAAAACAAACGAAGGCAGAAAAAUUGAACUUAUGAAAAAAGUUGUAGCCAUCCUUUAUGUUAAAGUAACUAAAAUUUAGAGAAAAAUUUUAGAGGUGUUCUUAGUUCUUUGCCAAGACUUUCUCCUGCAUUUCAACCAGAUGCUGAAGAUGAGGAAAAUGUGGACAAAUAACAUGCAUGAAGUGGUUUAAAAUGAACAUUAAUGCAAGAUGCAUUUUUUAAUCUAUAGGAAGUUUCUUGGUAAUAGUGAUCAGAGAAAAAAUGAAUUGCAGCUCAGAACUACUGAUGCUAAAGUUGAAUUCUGCAUAGAUUGGGAGAAACCCUUUCUAGAAAAUAGAAGAAAAUUAUGGCACGACAGUGACUACCACCUGCUGCAGUCCUGACAUAAAAUGUGGGUGCCAGGAUAUUAUUUCCCAGCUGUCAUUAGCUCAUUGGUGGUUUCUGUAAAUGUGCUCCAAGAGAACUGCUCUGGAGAGAGCUAACCAGAUUUUCAACUGCUGACAAAAAAAAAAAAAAAAAAAAGAAAAAGACAUUAUGAGUGUGAGGAAAACAUCAAAUUCUCUCAAAUUCUCUCUUUAAAUCCCAAGUGUCCUGUGCAAGGACCUCCUGCCAAAAUAUUUUUGAGUAGCUCUUUAAUUUGACUAUUUUUGUCCUUUACUGUUAGCCCAAAAGACCACAGCAAGUCCAGAAGUGUAGUACAAUAAAAUCCAGCAUUUCUUAAAAAAUAUUGAAAGCAAGUUUAUAUACUUAUCCAACAGAAACAUUGGAGACAGCUUUCUACAGUUUUGGUUUAGCUUGAAAGAGGGGACCAAAGUCAUUGCUGCUGGUCCAGAGCUGCAAUAUAUAGCAAAGCCAGCACUCAAAUGUGGUUGGUAGAAGCUAAGGAUGCUCAUAUUUCUUCAUAGUGCAUGCAUAAGUGUGGUCUAGUAUGAUGUCAAGUCUACCUCAGAACAUAUCUUGCCUUUUUGGCCCCAGAAUUUUGUGGAAAACGAAGAAUCUGCUGUUGGCAAAUGCGUAUAGAACAGUGUUGAGAAAAUAAUGGGAGGUGGUGAUUUUUUACAGCGGAAAGGAAAAAUCUCUUCAGAAGACAAAAAAUGUGAUCUAUUAGCAUAAUAAUGUCAUCAAAGAUCAAGUGCUAUAGUAUUUUAUAUUUUUACACUACUGUUCCAUAAACAUACAACAAUAGCAGGUUAAUAUAUCAAAUGUAUACAUAAAGUCUUCCCACUGUGCAUAACUGUUCCAUAUAUUACUGUUAUAUCUUCUGAGAUUAAGUAAACACAGAAUGUAAUGUACUGUACAUAAAUAUAGCACUACUGAAUCAUAAUAAAAAUUUAAAAAUACCUCUUUACCAUGA